rnacentral:rRNA from 1 species
GAUGAACGCUGGCGGCGUGCCUAAUACAUGCAAGUCGAGCGAACAGACGAGGAGCUUGCUCCUCUGACGUUAGCGGCGGACGGGUGAGUAACACGUGGAUAACCUACCUAUAAGACUGGGAUAACUUCGGGAAACCGGAGCUAAUACCGGAUAAUAUAUUGAACCGCAGGGUGCAAUAGUGAAAGACGGUUUUGCUGUCACUUAGAGAUGGAUCCGCGCCGCAUUAGCUAGUUGGUAAGGUAACGGCCUACCAAGGCAACGAUGCGUAGCCGACCUGAGAGGGUGAUCGGCCACACUGGAACUGAGACACGGUCCAGACUCCUACGGGAGGCAGCAGUAGGGAAUCUUGCGCAAUGGGCGAAAGCCUGAUGGAGCCACGCCGCGUGAGUGAUGAAGGUCUUCGGGUCGUAAAACUCUUUUAUUAGGGAAGAACAAAUGUGUAAGUAACUCUGCCCGUCUUGACGGUACCUAAUCAGAAAGCCCCGGCUAACUACGUG